AUUGAACGCUGGCGGCAGGCCUAACACAUGCAAGUCGAGCGGAGCGGCGGACGGGUGAGUAAUGCCUAGGAAUCUGCCUGGUAGUUGGGGAUAACGUCCGGUAACGAGCGCUAAUACCGCAUACUCUCUGAUGAGCCUAGGUCGGAUUAGCUAGUUGGUGGGGUAAAGGCCUACAAUAGCGACGAUCCGUAGCUGGUCUGAGAGGAUGAUCAGUCACACGGGAACUGAGACACGGUCCAGACUCCUACGGGAGGCAGCAGUGGGGAAUAUUGGACAAUGGGCGAAAGCCUGAGCGAGCCAGGCCGCGUGUGUGAAGAAGGUCUUCGGAUUGUAAAGCACUUUAAGAUGGGAGGCGUUACCAUAAGAAUAAGCACCGGCUAACUUCGUGCCAGCAGCCGCGGUAAUAC
rnacentral:rRNA from 1 species